GCCGUCAGUCACGUCGGCGUGCGAAGGAGAGACGAAAACAGUCUGAGCUGAGUUAUGUGAUAAGAGCGGAGGAAAACUGUUAUUUCAGCAAACUCUGUUAUUCCUCACAGGCAGCACGAUGCUGCGAAGUGUCCGCGUAGCUGCCUGUAACGUAGGGUAAAGAGAAGAGGCUAGCUAGCCUGCUAGCUUGAUUUAGCCACACAGUCUGACAGCCGACGUUUGUAGCCUGUAGCUAACCGGUUACUUUCAUCUGAACAAGAUUAACCAAUCAUGACACAGAAAGUCAGUCUGUGUUCGGUGUCCCUCGGAGUGGAGGGUAUGACUUGUAACUCCUGUGUCCAGUCCAUAGAGCAGCGCAUUGGGUCUUUCCCGGGAGUGAUACAUAUAAAGGUGUCUUUAGAGCAGAAGAAUGCCACGGUCAUGUUUGACCAGAACCAGCAGAGUCCAGAGUCUCUCUCAGAGGCCAUUGAGGACAUGGGCUUUGAGUCAAGUCUGUCGGAGUCCAUCGCAGCCACACCAGUCUCUACAGAUACCACGCUGAUAUCCACCUCAGGCCUGACACCUGCAGCCCUAGAAGAGGCUGUGGAGAAGCUAUCCCAGAUUCAGGGAGUGCUGGAUGUCAGAGAGAGCCAGGUCCAGAUGGAGCUCGCUGUCACCUUUGUUCCUUCCCUGACCUCAGCGCUGCAGCUGAGCGAGCUGGUGGCCAGCGUAACGCCUCUGGAGAUUCCCACACCCAGCAGCCCUGUGCAAAUAGGCCUAACCUUGUCUCCAUCUCAUAGCAGGGGAGGAGGGGUGGCACUCGUCAAGUUAUGCAUUGAAGGAAUGACGUGCCACUCCUGCACCACCACUAUUGAGGGGAAGAUUGGAAAACUGAAAGGGAUUGAAAAGAUCAAAGUUGUUUUGGAGUCUCAGGAAGCGACAAUCGUGUACCUGCCUUACCUCAUCACUGUCCAGACCAUCACUGACCAGAUUGCUGUGGCUGGCUUCAAGGCUUUUGUCAAGUCCAAGCCCCGUCCUCUGCAGCUGUCCCCCAGUGAAAUCGAACGUUUUGUUGAUUCUCAAAAACCAACUGUGUCUUCUCCAUCAGAGACUUCAGAGGAGACAGAAAUCUUCAUAGACACAACACUUGUCCCUCUCAGGGUGAAAGGCAUGCACUGCCAUUCCUGUGUGGUCAAUAUCCAAGACAAUGUCUCUAAGCUGCCUGGUGUCUCCUCUGUGGAGGUCUCUCUGGAGAAGGAGAAGGCGUCCAUCUGCUAUGAUCCUCUAAAGGUCACAGUGCCUCAGCUGCAGCAGGCAAUUGAGGCGCUGCCUCCAGGAAACUUCAAGACACAACCCUGGGACUCCUCGGGCCCUCUCAGUCCUGUAUCUAUAUCGCCCACUCCAGCCUUAUCAUCACCUUGGCCUGCCCAGGCCAAAGUUUCUGCCUCACAGCCUUGUUUUACCCAGCCUCUGGCAUCGGUAGUUGAUAUUCACAUCGAAGGCAUGACAUGCAACUCCUGUGUCCAGUCCAUUGAAGGCAUGAUCUCUCAGAGGAAGGGGGUGGUGUCAGCUAAGGUCUCUCUGGCUGAUCACCAGGGGAUCUUUGAGUACGACCCGCUCCUGACCACACAAGAGGAGCUGAGGGAGGCCAUAGAGGACAUGGGCUUUGACGCCUUCCUACCUGAGACCAAUUCUCUGCUGCCUGCACCAGAUCCCAGUCUCUCCAAGUCUUCGUGUCUAGCACCUGUGAAAGAUAAGGAGCUGGACAGUGACCUACACAAAGAAGCCCCCCAAGGACUCAACAAAGACAAGCACUCUAAAUGCUACAUCCAGAUCGGAGGGAUGACGUGUGCUUCCUGCGUGGCUAACAUCGAGCGAAACCUUAAGAAUGAACCUGGCAUCUACUCUGUUCUGGUGGCGCUAAUGGCCAGUAAAGCAGAGGUGCGUUAUAACCCUGAAGUCAUCGACCCUGUGAAGAUAGCCGAGUGUGUGAAAGAGCUCGGCUUCACCGCCUCCGUGAUGGAGAACUACGAAGGUUCAGACGGAAACCUAGAACUAGUGGUCCGGGGAAUGACGUGUGCCUCUUGUGUUCACAAAAUCGAAUCCAGCCUUAUGAGAGAGAAGGGGAUUAUAUAUGCCUCUGUUGCCUUGGCAACCAACAAAGCACACGUUAAGUACGACUCCGAAAUUAUAGGGCCGCGGGACAUCAUCAAGCUGAUUGAGAAUCUGGGGUUUGAAGCAUCUUUGGUAAAGAGGGACCGGACUGCCAGUCACCUGGACCACAGCAAAGAGAUACAACAGUGGAGGAAAUCUUUCCUGGUCAGCUUGAUUUUCUGUGUGCCUGUGAUGGGCAUGAUGAUCUACAUGAUGAUCGUAGACCACCAGAUGAACGUUUCACAUGAACACAACGCUACGGCGGAGGAACGAAACCAUUACCACUCCACCAUGUUCCUGGAGAGACAGCUGUUCCCAGGCCUGUCCAUCAUGAACCUCCUCUCCUUCCUGUUUUGCGUGCCCGUACAGUUUAUAGGAGGUCGAUACUUCUACAUUCAAGCCUACAAAGCAGUCAAACACCGAUCUGCCAACAUGGAUGUGCUAAUAGUUUUGGCUACCACCAUAGCCUUCACCUACUCACUGGUCAUCCUAAUAGUGGCCAUGGUGGAGAAGGCCAAAGUCAACCCCAUCACCUUCUUUGACACACCGCCUAUGCUCUUUGUCUUCAUCUCUCUGGGACGCUGGCUGGAACAGAUAGCCAAGAGCAAGACAUCUGAGGCUUUGUCCAAGCUCAUGUCUCUGCAAGCCACUGAGGCCACAGUGGUCACUCUCAGCAGUGACAAGUCUAUUCUCAGUGAGGAGCAGGUGGAUGUUGAGCUGGUGCAGAGGGGUGACGUGGUGAAAGUCGUCCCCGGAGGAAAGUUUCCAGUAGACGGGAGGGUCAUUGAGGGACACUCCAUGGCUGAUGAGUCUCUCAUUACAGGCGAGGCCAUGCCAGUGACUAAGAAGCCUGGGAGCUCUGUGAUUGCAGGCUCCAUUAACCAGAAUGGCUCUCUGCUUGUCAGCGCUACGCACGUUGGCAUGGACACGACACUGUCUCAGAUUGUCAAACUAGUGGAGGAGGCUCAGACCUCAAAGGCUCCCAUCCAGCAGUAUGCGGAUAAGAUCAGCGGCUACUUCGUACCCUUCAUUGUUGCCAUAUCUGUCCUUACACUGCUCGCCUGGAUUAUCAUUGGGUUUUUGGACUUCUCACUAGUGGAAAAGUACUUUCCUGGUUAUGACAAGAGUAUUUCCAGGUCCGAGGCAGUGAUUCGUUUUGCCUUCCAGGCCUCCAUAACAGUGUUAUGCAUCGCCUGUCCCUGUUCCCUUGGCUUGGCAACCCCGACAGCUGUCAUGGUGGGCACAGGGGUUGGAGCCCAAAAUGGUAUUCUGAUAAAGGGAGGAGAGCCACUUGAGAUGGCACAUAAGGUCCAGUCGGUGGUGUUUGAUAAGACUGGGACCAUCACAUACGGUGCUCCAAAAGUUAUCCAAGUCAAGAUGGUUGUCGAGGGGAACAAGAUGCCUCGUUCCCGACUGUUGGCCAUCGUCGGUACAGCUGAGAACAACAGUGAACACCCUCUGGGAGCAGCUAUCACCAAAUACUGCAAACAGGAGCUCGGCACAGAGUCUCUUGGCACGUGCACAGACUUUCAGGCGGUGCCGGGCUGUGGCAUCCGAUGUCAGGUCAGCAACACGGAGAACCUGCUGAAACAGGCGGACAGCGACAGCGAGGACAACAACCAGCGUAACAGCGUCCUCGUCCAAAUCAGUGACACCCGGAUAACCACCAGCUCCCAUCCACUCAUCAUGGACCCACAGCCACUAAGCCACGUCCAGACAGCCAGCUACGUCGUCCUGAUUGGCAACAGAGAGUGGAUGAGGAGGAACUGCCUGCAGAUCAGACCUGAUAUAGAUGAGGCCAUGACGGAGCAUGAGCGCAGAGGACGCACUGCCGUUCUUGUAGCUAUAGACAACAUGCUGUGUGCGAUGAUAGCCAUAGCUGACACAGUGAAACCAGAGGCUGAGCUUGCAGUACACACUCUGACCAACAUGGGUCUGGAAGUUGUGCUGAUGACAGGAGACAACAGCAAGACAGCACGGGCUAUUGCUGCCCAGGUGGGUAUCAGGAAAGUGUUUGCUGAGGUGCUUCCCUCCCACAAGGUGGCCAAGGUGGAACAGCUGCAGCAGGCAGGCAAGAGAGUGGCCAUGGUGGGUGACGGUGUUAACGACUCACCUGCUCUGGCCAUGGCUGACGUGGGCAUCGCCAUAGGAACCGGGACAGAUGUGGCCAUAGAAGCGGCAGACGUGGUUUUGAUCAGGAACGACCUCCUGGAUGUGGUGGGUAGUAUCGACCUCUCUAAGAAGACUGUCAAGAGGAUCAGGAUCAACUUUGUAUUUGCUCUUAUCUACAACCUGGUCGGCAUUCCUAUUGCUGCUGGCGUAUUCCUUCCCAUUGGUCUGGUCUUACAGCCGUGGAUGGGCUCUGCUGCGAUGGCGCUGUCAUCUGUCUCUGUGGUUUUGUCCUCUCUUCUACUCAAAUGUUACACUAAGCCCACUGCAGAGAAGUUGGAGGCCCGACUGGGUAACAGCAGGCGUCAGGGCAGCCUGUCGGAUGUCAGCAUCCACAUCGGCAUGGGCGAGAUGCGUCGUCCCUCCCCCAGACUCAGCCUGCUGGACCGCAUCGUCAACUACAGCCGUGCCUCAAUCAACUCCCUGCGAUCCGACAAGCACUCGCUGAACAGCUUGGUGCUCAGCGAGCCCGACAAACACUCGCUGCUGGUGGGGGAUGCGCUGUGCGAGGAGGAGUUUUGCUGAAUACGUAAGGCUCACAUUGGCCAGCAGUAACUUUUGUAUUCUGAAGUAGGCUGUAAUUGUAUUUUUUCAAGGCUAGGCCACGCUAAGCUGAAAGGGUUACAUUGAAUAAUGGCCCAUCCAUCUGCUGUAGGUGCCUCGGGGCAGCUCUGUUGAUUUGAAGAGAGCUUAUGUGCCCCUUGUUUUCUUUUAGCUCAACCAGUGGAUCAGAUGCACUUCAGAGCAUGCUGGGGUGAUUUCCUCUCCUUCAUCAGCAGACUGUCUUUUGUUGAGGAGCAGGAAGCAUCUUCAGAGCCUUGAUGCUGGUGUCCACACCCAGGAACCGUGGACAUUUGCCAGUACAAUCUUUAACAUCUAUCCAAAGACAUUUUAACAGUGGUGCACCUUGUAAGAGUGGACACUACAGAGUUAUAUUUUAACUUAAUUUUCCUUUAACGGAAAAUUAUAGUAACACUAUUGUAUUAUUCUGUUCCAGAGUAUUUAUAUUACCUUUAUUUAUCUUUUUUUUCAUUAUAUCUGAUGUGAACAAUGAAGUCGUUGAAUCCAAAUGCCAAUUUUCAUUUUCAGUCUCCCAGAAUGUGUGAUUAUUGAACAAGGUAAGACAUAAAAACUGACUCUAAGACGUCUUGUAACUCGCUGCAAGCUUAUGUUUUGUGCAGAACGCCAGUGGAGUGAGAUGUAAAUGUCAGUUUGACCCAAGUGCCAAUUGAAAUGCCACCUUGGCAAAGUCCAACACAUUCCAAAGAUAGCACUGUACAGAGGUUACCUUGGACAUAAUGUGCACGAAGUGUGAACAGAGAUAAGGUCAAAGCAGAGAAGGGGAAAGCCGACUGUGAAUGGUGACGCCAGCUAUAGAGGUCAUAGAUUUCUGUAGUUGUGUCAACCCUCUGCAUCUUUGGAUAAUUAUAUAAAAUGUGUGUCAGUGAAUGUGAACAUUAUUCGUUGUUAAAUUUAAACAGAAGUUGUUACAUGAAUGACAUUGUGCCUGGAUUACUUUAUGUGCUUACUGCAAAGAGAAGGUUUGUGUUAUGAAAAGACUGAAUCGUAAAUGCAUCGGCGUUCUUUUCAGCGCCACAGGAGGCAAGAUGGUGUUACUGUUUCUAAGGACUUUGUUCAUUUCUCUGCUUUUCCAUAUGAUGAAUAAUCAUCAAAGAAACUCGAUCAAAGAAACAUCUUUGCACCCAGGGGAGCAGACUAAACACAGCUGUGUCCCAGCAGUUCCACCAAACAAGUUACUGAGAAACAAACGUCGAUGAAUGAAGUAGAUUUUCAUAAAAUCAAAUUGUACAAGUUGUAAAAAUUGAAAUGACAUCAGCUACAUCUUGCAGUUGUAGACAGUGACUGUUCAGUCGUCUAUGCUUUAGUUUUUCUGCUGUAAUGUGAUUACAGAUUUUUUUUUUUUUUAUAUUACUAUCUGCUGUGUCAGAUCAGGAGAUAAUCACUGCUGUCCAUCCAUCUAUUCCUUCCAUUUUUGAGUGCAGACUUUCUCUAGUGUUUCUUACUGGCAGUGAGAAGAGCCAUCAGGUCGUCCUGCCGCUUUCCCAAGAUGCAUUAUGCUCUGUCGCUGUCACAGCUUCUGAGUGUUGUUUUGCCAAUCUGCUGUUUCUGUGCAUUGUUUUGCGAAGAGGUCCGUGGGACUUCAGAUCUGUGUGCAGUUAAAUUAAGCGAGUUUA